rnacentral:tRNA from 1 species
GGAGGUGUGGCCGAGCUGGUUUAAGGCAGCAGUCUUGAAAACUGCCGUAGGGGUGACUCUACCGUGAGUUCGAAUCUCACCGCCUCCG